GCAGUGGGAACCCCAAAAUGUGUCUGGGCCGUGCCUUUCACAUUCCAAACAAUGCAAACGCUUGAGGAAAACCUCAGCAGUUGAAACCGUGAUGCAGUUCGGCAGAGAAGUAGCUCCUGUCCUCGUAGACUGAAGUUCUCACGGACGACCUCAUUGAAUCCCUCCUGUAGCUGUCGUACAGAGUGUGAUUUAUGACUUGUAAGUUGUGCUAUGGAGCUUGACAAAUCAAUAUCUAUAUAUGUUUUUAAGAUGAGUAGAAAUUCUCCUGAAGACCUUAAAGAAAAA